UGAGAGACCGACCGGCCAGAUUGGGACUGAGACACGGCCCAGACUCCUACGGGAGGCAGCAGUGGGGAAUCUUGCGCAAUGGGGGGAACCCUGACGCAGCGACGCCGCGUGCGGGACGGAGGCCUUCGGGUCGUAAACCGCUUUCAGCAGGGAAGAGUCAAGACUGUACCUGCAGAAGAAGCCCCGGCUAACUACGUGCCAGCAGCCGCGGUAAUACGUAGGGGGCGAGCGUUAUCCGGAUUCAUUGGGCGUAAAGCGCGCGUAGGCGGCCCGGCAGGCCGGGGGUCGAAGCGGGGGGCUCAACCCCCCGAAGCCCCCGGAACCUCCGCGGCUUGGGUCCGGUAGGGGAGGGUGGAACACCCGGUGUAGCGGCGGAAUGCGCAGAUAUCGGGUGGAACACCGGUGGCGAAGGCGGCCCUCUGGGCCGAGACCGACGCUGAGGCGCGAAAGCUGGGGGAGCGAACAGGAUUAGAUACCCUGGUAGUCCCAGCCGUAAACGAAGGGCGCUAGGUGUGGGGGGACGAUCCCCCCG
rnacentral:rRNA from 1 species